UACAGGGGGGGCAAGCGUUGUUCGGAUUCACUGGGCGUAAAGGGUGCGUAGGUGGCCAGGUAAGUCUGACGUGAAAUCUCCGAGCCUAACUCGGAAACUGCAUCGGAUACUAUCUGGCUUGAGGGUUGGAGGGGGGACUGGAAUACUUGGUGUAGCAGUGAAAUGCGUAGAUAUCAAGUGGAACACCAGUGGCGAAGGCGAGUCCCUGGACAACUCCUGACACUGAGGCACGAAAGCUAGGGGAGCAAACAGG
rnacentral:rRNA from 1 species